ACUUUAAUCCAAACCAAUCAAACUCAUAUAAGAAAAACACAAAUAGAUAAGCAGAUCCCUUCUCUUAGUUAUUAAACUCAGACCAAACUUCUUACAACAUAUGUGCAACUUGACCAAGAUGAAAAAGAAGCAGCCUUCCCCCUUUUUUUGAUCAGUAAAAGGUAAUAUAAUAUUCAAAAACCUGACAGGCAGUUCCAAUAUAGAACUGCAACCUUCACUCCUUUUAGGAGAUGAGGGGUAACUCUGCCUCAGAUUGCUGGACCCAUACCCAAUGUGUGGGAAGGUUGUAGUAAGUUGAUGGCCAAUGAAAAACUCGUCAACUUAUA
rnacentral:misc_RNA from 1 species